UGGCCGCCGCCAUAUAAGACGUGACUUUGGCCUCCCGUUAUGAUUCUGAGACCUCCCCAGCCAUGGAGAACUGUCAUCCCCAUGCCGGCCGGCUGCUAGCUGCAGCUCCUGGAACUAGAGGAAAAGGAACCAAAGCAAGAACACUGACUCAGGGCUUGGCUGGGAUCAGCCUGGUACAGAGACUGUGCCUGCACUUGCAGAGCCUGGCAGAGAGUCACCUUCUGAUUUUCUGCCUAAAUGCAGUGGAAUUUGAAGUCAGUCACCUAGAUUCUGAUCCAGCUGCGUCACUUGUCAGCUAUUGCCUUUGUGCCCAGGAGAGUGCUGUGCUCCCAGCAAGCUAUGGGCCACCACAGUGAGUCAUGGGGCAGACAAGACAGAGUCUGGAGCAGAGGGCCCUGCAUACUUCACUAUGGGGAGUUUUGCGGCCUCACCUUGGUCUGGUACAGGGCCUCGGCCUCGGCCUUGCUCUUCCGGGCGAUCUCCUCAUACUGGGCACGGACCUCAGCAAUGAUGCUGUCCAGGUCCAGGUUCCGGUUGUUGUCCAUGGACAGGAUGAUGGACGUGUCGCUGAUGUGGGACUGGAUCUGAGCAGUCUCCUGCAGGGGAAACAAGGAAGCAUGAAAUGCCUUCUGUGACCAGAGAAAGGUCCCAAGGUGAUGGCCCUGUCCCAGAGGGAUGGCCCUAGACCAUCCCACACAGAUGGAAGCUGCACUUCCCAAAGCUUGUAAGAACAGAGCUCACAGCCCAGAGGUUCCAAUACCACAUCUGAAAACUGCUGAAUGGGUUUGAAGCAGCCCAGGAAGAAAACAGCCCAUAUGUCUGUCCCCUGAGACAGGACAGGAGUGGGGAAGGUGGAAGACAACAGCCUGGCUGCCACACAUGGGACACUAAGGGGCACAGGAGCCCAGAAAUGCUUGGCCAAUAGGUUGAGGCUUGAAACCAGAUGUACAUAGAGAAGGCAGAAGGGGUAUGAGGACUUCCUACCUCUAUCCCUGGGGAUUCCUGCCCAAGACCCCAGGAAACAUCCCCAGCCACAGAGAGAAGAGAAGCAGGAAUGAGAAUAUGCUUGGCUGAAGUUCAGUGGGAACCCUUUAAGGACUCUGUUUUCCUGGAGGAAGUGAAAGCAGGACAUCCUCAGGGCAGUCAGGGAUGGAUGGGGCACCAGGAUAGAUGGCCACUCCCACCUUUGAUCUACAAAUUUCUCAGCACCCCAAUGCUGGAGGUGCCCUGGACUGCUUAAGUUACAGAUAAGUAAGAAACUGUUCAUCACAUAUCUGUCCUUCCAGAAGACAGAGCCAGAGGUGGGGCAGGGGGAGCCUUACCCCCUCGUACAGACACUUGAAGAACUUGAUUUCUCCAUCCAGGGCAUCCACCUUGGCCUGCAGCUCCACUUUGCUCGUGUAAGCUGCGUCCACGUCCUAUGGAGAAUCCAGAUACCCCUGACCUCACCUUUCUUCAAGCCCAGACAGGCCUCUCCAGCGAACUGACACCUGCAGGCCCUGCCCUAGCUAGCUGCCCAGGACUUCAGAUCCAAGGGGCAGGAACCGGCCUUCCAGCCACAACUUCACUGUCAGACUCACUGCGAAACCUGGGGCAAGUUUCUCAUGCCUCUGGAACUCCUUCUGCCUCUAUUUCUCAGAGAAGGGUGUGAGACUCUAUACCCCACUCAGCCAGUCAUUCAGCCAACAGAGGGAGGCAAGGACAGCCACGGCGAUUUGCCAGAAACUAGCAGAGUUGGAAGGCAAACCUGCAGCCCCUCCCAAAGCCUGUCCUGUUCCCCAGCCAGAGGGGACAUGAGUUGGGACUGACUAUCCACAUCUAGGUUCCUGUCCACAGACAAAGUACUGUGUGCUAAACCAACACCAGGUGUCCCAAAAUGUCCCAAGCAGCAAGCCCUUCAUCUCCUCCUUCAGCACUUUGGCUCCAGGCCCUUCUGCGGGGGGCUCAGACCUCAGCUGCUCCUCUCUCUUAGCCCAGCACCCACUGCUGGGGGACUGAAGGGAACCCAUGCACCCUCCUCACCUUCUUAAGCACCACAAAUUCAUUCUCAGCAGUUGUGCGCUUGUUUAUUUCUUCUUCAUACCUGCAGGGAAAGCAUCACAGGAAGCAGAGUGUGUG
rnacentral:lncRNA from 10 species